rnacentral:lncRNA from 10 species
CCUUGCUGAGAGUUUUGCCUUCAGCCUAUCUGGGCCGCUGGAAAAGAGGAGAAGAAUAAACAAGAGACAAGCAACUACUCCCCUACCGGCGUUCCGUCCUUGUCCUCACUGCCAAAUCCACUCCAAAGCCGAGGAUGGUUUCUCUCCUUGGCUCCUGCCCCUUUCCCCUCCCGGCUCCUUGUCCUUGACUGAACCUCAUGGGACAGAGAACCUCCUGUCCCCCACGAGGCAAGGCGCGAACCCGCAGAGAUCUGGGGUGCCCUUUGGUUCCCUGCGCUGCCCUGGAGGCGUCCAUAGAGGCCUUUGCCGCCAAGGACAGCAAUUGUUUUAUUUUCGAUGGUUGCUCGCCAGGCCUGCGGGUCGCGGGCCCACCCAGCCGUCGAACUUUCCAGUCGUUAUCAGCGCUGCUCCUAACUUAAUGGAAUAAUGCAAAUUAUAGCCUGCCCAGCUGACACGUCCCUGCGAAUGCGCCGGGGCUGAGCUCUGGCCAGCCGCUCUCUCGACGUCCUGGACGGCCGGAGGGAAUGAAGCUCUGAAUUGUGACAAAAGUGGGGGGGGGGCACCCCAAAUUCUCAAAGCAAUGUUCUUUUUUUUUUCUUUUUUCUUAAGCAAUUGAGCCUUACCAAAUGUCGGGGCCGCACGGAAGCCUUGCAUAUUUUAAAGUGUAACCUGAGCCUUCGCGGUUUCAGCUUCACUUAAAACAUGCAAAUUCUUGAAAUUGAAAAAUCUGAAAAACUUCCGAAGAGUUCUAUCUGAAUAAAUCCAAAUCCAUUGGGAGUCGCUUUGAGGAGACAAAACGCACAGCGAUUUGGGGUGAGGGAUAUUUGUGGGGAGGCAGGACGUGCUGGAUUGGGUUUCCAGGGUCAAGGUGUCUCUGGGCCUUCGACGAUAGCCUUAGCGCAGAGCAGGGAAGUGGCACCGCUAGGCAGCAAGCUCAGUUGCUCUACUUUUGUGACCCAUCCCCCCACCCCCCCCACCGCCACCCUUGCCUCCGGGCCACUGCCCCUCUCUGCAAGCUUUGUCCGCUGGACUCCGUUGCCCUUGCGCGGCCGCCCCAUCACUCACGCUUGACUGGAGGAAAUAAAAUUGGCGUUG